rnacentral:lncRNA from 1 species
CGUGCGGCCAGCGGGGGGCGUGGUGUGCACGUUAACCCUGGCGUUUCUGAACCCAGAGCGUCCCAAGUCUUUCUCGGUGGAUCUGCAGCUCACAGGAUUUCAGUAGAAUUUUGUAAAACUUUCUUAGCAUGCAUUGGGAACUAUGGGAAAUGCACUUGUCUACACUUGCCGAAGAUUGAAUUGAGAAAAGGAAAAUCAUCGCAGACUCAACACACAUUAUGAAUCUCAAGCAGGAUCCAUUCAAAGAAAACCAUACCUAAGCACAUUGUGAUAAAACUGCUGAAAACCAAGAAUGAGGAGGAAUCUUAAGAGCAGCCAGAGAAAGAGACGCAUCACUUUCAAAG